rnacentral:tRNA from 2 species
GGGAGUCGCCAAGUGGUAAGGCACCGGAUUUUGAUUCCGGCAUUCGUAGGUUCGAUCCCUACCUCCC